UUAAGUUAGAAAGGGCGCACGGUGGAUGCCUUGACACUAGGAGUCGAUGAAGGACGGGACUAACGCCGAUAUGCUUCGGGGAGCUGUAAGUAAGCUUUGAUCCGAAGAUUUCCGAAUGGGGAAACCCACCAUACGUAAUGGUAUGGUAUCCUUAUCUGAAUACAUAGGGUAAGGAAGACAGACCCAGGGAACUGAAACAUCUAAGUACCUGGAGGAAGAGAAAGCAAAUGCGAUUUCCUGAGUAGCGGCGAGCGAAACGGAACAUAGCCCAAACCAAGAGGCUUGCCUCUUGGGGUUGUAGGACAUUCUAUACGGAGUUACAAAGGAACGAGGUAGACGAAGCGACCUGGAAAGGUCCGUCGUAGAGGGUAACAACCCCGUAGUCGAAACUUCGUUCUCUCUUGAAUGUAUCCUGAGUACGGCGGAACACGUGAAAUUCCGUCGGAAUCUGGGAGGACCAUCUCCCAAGGCUAAAUACUCCCUAGUGAUCGAUAGUGAACCAGUACCGUGAGGGAAAGGUGAAAAGCACCCCGGAAGGGGAGUGAAAGAGAUCCUGAAACCGUGUGCCUACAAAUAGUCAGAGCCCGUUAACGGGUGAUGGCGUGCCUUUUGUAGAAUGAACCGGCGAGUUACGAUCCCGUGCGAGGUUAAGCUGAAGAGGCGGAGCCGCAGCGAAAGCGAGUCUGAAUAGGGCGUUUAGUACGUGGUCGUAGACCCGAAACCAGGUGAUCUACCCAUGUCCAGGGUGAAGUUCAGGUAACACUGAAUGGAGGCCCGAACCCACGCACGUUGAAAAGUGCGGGGAUGAGGUGUGGGUAGCGGAGAAAUUCCAAUCGAACCUGGAGAUAGCUGGUUCUCCCCGAAAUAGCUUUAGGGCUAGCCUUAAGUGUAAGAGUCUUGGAGGUAGAGCACUGAUUGGACUAGGGGUCCUCAUCGGAUUACCGAAUUCAGUCAAACUCCGAAUGCCAAUGACUUAUCCUUAGGAGUCAGACUGCGAGUGAUAAGAUCCGUAGUCAAAAGGGAAACAGCCCAGACCGCCAGCUAAGGUCCCAAAGUGUGUAUUAAGUGGAAAAGGAUGUGGAGUUGCUUAGACAACUAGGAUGUUGGCUUAGAAGCAGCCACCAUUUAAAGAGUGCGUAAUAGCUCACUAGUCGAGUGACUCUGCGCCGAAAAUGUACCGGGGCUAAAUACACCACCGAAGCUGCGGAUUGAUACCGAAUGGUAUCAGUGGUAGGGGAGCGUUCUAAGGACAGUGAAGUCAGACCGUAAGGACUGGUGGAGUGCUUAGAAGUGAGAAUGCCGGUAUGAGUAGCGAAAGACGGGUGAGAAUCCCGUCCACCGAAUGCCUAAGGUUUCCUGAGGAAGGCUCGUCCGCUCAGGGUUAGUCAGGACCUAAGCCGAGGCCGACAGGCGUAGGCGAUGGACAACAGGUUGAUAUUCCUGUACCACCUCUUUAUCGUUUGAGCAAUGGAGGGACGCAGAAGGAUAGAAGAAGCGUGCGAUUGGUUGUGCACGUCCAAGCAGUUAGGCUGAUAAGUAGGCAAAUCCGCUUAUCGUAAAGGCUGAGCUGUGAUGGGGAAGCUCCUUAUGGAGCGAAGUCUUUGAUUCCCCGCUGCCAAGAAAAGCUUCUAGCGAGAUAAAAGGUGCCUGUACCGCAAACCGACACAGGUAGGCGAGGAGAGAAUCCUAAGGUGUGCGAGAGAACUCUGGUUAAGGAACUCGGCAAAAUGACCCCGUAACUUCGGGAGAAGGGGUGCUUUCUUAACGGAAAGCCGCAGUGAAUAGGCCCAAGCGACUGUUUAGCAAAAACACAGCUCUCUGCGAAGCCGUAAGGCGAAGUAUAGGGGGUGACACCUGCCCGGUGCUGGAAGGUUAAGGAGAGGGGUUAGCGUAAGCGAAGCUCUGAACUGAAGCCCCAGUAAACGGCGGCCGUAACUAUAACGGUCCUAAGGUAGCGAAAUUCCUUGUCGGGUAAGUUCCGACCCGCACGAAAGGUGUAACGAUUUGGGCACUGUCUCAACCAGAGACUCGGUGAAAUUAUAGUACCUGUGAAGAUGCAGGUUACCCGCGACAGGACGGAAAGACCCCGUGGAGCUUUACUGUAGCCUGAUAUUGAAUUUUGGUACAGUUUGUACAGGAUAGGCGGGAGCCAUUGAAACCGGAGCGCUAGCUUCGGUGGAGGCGCUGGUGGGAUACCGCCCUGACUGUAUUGAAAUUCUAACCUACGGGUCUUAUCGACCCGGGAGACAGUGUCAGGUGGGCAGUUUGACUGGGGCGGUCGCCUCCUAAAGUGUAACGGAGGCGCCCAAAGGUUCCCUCAGAAUGGUUGGAAAUCAUUCGUAGAGUGCAAAGGCAUAAGGGAGCUUGACUGCGAGACCUACAAGUCGAGCAGGGACGAAAGUCGGGCUUAGUGAUCCGGUGGUUCCGCAUGGAAGGGCCAUCGCUCAACGGAUAAAAGCUACCCCGGGGAUAACAGGCUUAUCUCCCCCAAGAGUCCACAUCGACGGGGAGGUUUGGCACCUCGAUGUCGGCUCAUCGCAUCCUGGGGCUGUAGUCGGUCCCAAGGGUUGGGCUGUUCGCCCAUUAAAGCGGUACGCGAGCUGGGUUCAGAACGUCGUGAGACAGUUCGGUCCCUAUCCGUCGUGGGCGUAGGAAAUUUGAGAGGAGCUGUCCUUAGUACGAGAGGACCGGGAUGGACGCACCGCUGGUGUACCAGUUGUUCUGCCAAGGGCAUAGCUGGGUAGCUAUGUGCGGAAGGGAUAAGUGCUGAAAGCAUCUAAGCAUGAAGCCCCCCUCAAGAUGAGAUUUCCCAUAGCGUAAGCUAGUAAGAUCCCUGAAAGAUGAUCAGGUUGAUAGGUUCGAGGUGGAAGCAUGGUGACAUGUGGAGCUGACGAAUACUAAUAGAUCGAGGACNNNNNNNN
rnacentral:rRNA from 1 species